rnacentral:rRNA from 1 species
CCCUUAGAUGUUCUGGGCUGCACGCGUGCUACACUGAUUAUUUCAACAAGUGUUUUAACUGGAGAGUUCGCGUAAUCCUGAAAUGUUAUCGUGAUGGGAGUAGAGUAUUGUAUUUGUUAAUCUUUAACGAGGAAUUCCUAGUAAGUGUAGGUUUAUAAGUUGUUCUGAUUACGUCCCUGCCCUUUGUACACACCGCCCGUCGCUCCUACCGAUUGAGUGGUCCGGUGAGGCUUUGGGAUCUGAGCGGAAAGAGCGUUUCGCUGUUUCUGCUCGGAAAACUCAGUCGAACCUUAUCAUUUAGAGGAAGGAGAAGUCGUAACA